rnacentral:lncRNA from 1 species
CUCGUGUCUAUUCUUGGGGCAGAUUGGAAAUUGCUUUGUGCUUACAGACCCCAAAGUUCAGGACAAGUAGAGAGAAUGAAUAGAACCCUAAAAGAGACCCUAACCAAAUUGACCAUGGAGACUGGCGGAGACUGGGUAGCCCUCCUUCCCUAUGCCCUGUAUAGGGUACAGAAUUCCCCUUAUAAAUUAGAAGCCACUCCCUUUGAAAUUAUGUUUGGCAUACCCCCUCCCAUAAUCCCCUGCUUGUCUGAGCACCUGCUUGUAGAAUUUGAUGACUCUGACCUCUUACAGUCCCUAAAAGCCCUGCAACAAGCCCACCAGGACGAGUGGUCCCACCUCAAAGCUCUGUAUGAAACAGGACCCCCUCCUCAGCCACACAGCUUCUGUUCUGGAGACUAGGUCUACAUAAAGAGACAUCAACAGGAAUCACUGCAACCUCGCUGGAAGGGACCAUACGUGGUGAUUCUCAUGACGCCCACUGCUCUCAAGGUCAAUGGGAUCGCCACCUGGAUCCACUACUCUCAUGCAAAGCCAACGGACUUGUUCCCCAUGAGGAGUGACUUCAUUCCGGAUUCGAAUUCCAAGUGGCAAGUUACUCGUCAUAAGGACAAUUUUCUUAAUUGUUUAAACCCUAGUUAGGAUGCUAUUAUUAGUCUGGCUGCUUAUUCUUGCUUGCAUUAGUACCAUUCUUUGUAAUAACCCCCAUUUUCCAUAUAAGUGGACCUGGGUAAUCCAGAAUCCAGCAAUUGGACAUAACAUAGUCUUGGCAACUCAGGAAGGACCCCAGAUAUGGUUCCCGGACUUAGAGUUUGAUCUUUGCCAGUUGGCUGAGGGGUCGUGGAAACAAACAAAACAAAAAGGCUCUGACACACCCAUCCAUUAUAUGAGAAAGAGGUACCUGAGCUCUGAUGGCUUAAAUGGUCCUCCCUAUAAAAUGGAUACCUGGUACAUAUGCCCCAGAGAGUCCCGACCCCCGCAAUGCGGGAGUUCUACAGAAUAUUAUUGCAAGCAAUGGGGAUGUGAGACUAGUGUGGGAGGGUCUAGAGCCUGGAAGGUCGCCAAAGAUGACUUAGUAAAAUACUCCAGACCACAUAGUCAGAACUCCUGGAUACAAGCCAGAUUCACCCCAAAGGGAAAAGAGGCACAAGGAUGGGAACAAGGAAAUCUUGGGGAAUAAGACUUUACCAGAUAGGAAGCAGUGAUGAAGGACUCAUUUUUAUUCUCAAGGUUUUAAAGACCCAAAUUGUACCCGCUGUGGUGGGACCUAAGAAAGCCCUGGCCCCACCACCAUCAGCUAACACCCCCAUUAUGCCCGAAAGUACCCAAGUACCUAAGACUAUCCAGAGGAUCCCUGAGGACAGGGACCUAAACUCUCCACCUGAACUGCCCAACCUACUUGUGCCUGGCAUUUCAGAGGAGAACACCUUGAGAGCUCCCUUGUGGAAACUGCUGCUAAAAACUUAUGAUGUUGUAAACAAAACCCAACCCCAGGUGACAGAUAUGUUGGAUAUGUUAUGAUCUGCAACUCCCCUUUUAUGAGGGGAUAGCUCUCCCAGGAAGUUAUACACUGACUAGCAAAGUACAGGACUGCCUAUGGGAACCAGUGGAAUCUGGACUUACCUUGGAGAAGGUUAUUGGGAAAGGCAGCUGUGUGGGAAACCCACCACCCUCUCUGCAGCAUUUAUGCAAUCAGACUUCCCCUAUACCCAC